rnacentral:tRNA from 1 species
AAGGGUAUAGCUCAGUGGUAGAGUGUGCGCUUAGCAUGCACAAGGUCCUGGGUUCGAUCCCCAGUACCUCCA